GCCUGAGUGGCUCAGUCGGUUAAGCGUCUGACUUCAGUUCAGAUCAUGUUCUCAUGGAUUGUGAGUUCAAGCCCUGCGUCGGGCU
rnacentral:tRNA from 1 species